UUUCCGUGGGUGAACCUGCGGAAGGAUCAUUAAUGAGUUGUCAUGGGGUUCGAUGCUGGCAGCCAGUUUUUGGAUGCAUGUGCUUGCCCUAACAAUCAUCUUCUUCCAAACACCUGUGCACAUUUUUGAGGGAGUCUUGAGUUGGUUGCCGCUCUUGGGUGAUUUUCUCACAUUCCCUUAAAUCAUUAUACGCUAUUAACAAUGUUGAACGUGCUCUGUGCCGCAAGGCCAUUAAUAUAAUACAACUUUUAACAACGGAUCUCUUGGCUCUC
rnacentral:misc_RNA from 1 species